GACCCAGUGGUGGACGGUCCGCGCCCGCACCAUAUGAGUCCGGGAAGAUGGUAAAUAUGGUCAUGCGGGAGCCCCUGGUUCGACUCCAGGCUGGGUCA